UACGAAGGGGGCUAGCGUUGUUCGGAUUUACUGGGCGUAAAGCGCGUGUAGGCGGGCCGUUAAGUUGGGGGUGAAAGCCCGGAGCUCAACUCCGGAACUGCCUUCAAAACUGGCGGCCUUGAGCAUGAUAGAGGCGAGUGGAAUUCCGAGUGUAGAGGUGAAAUUCGUAGAUAUUCGGAGGAACACCAGUGGCGAAGGCGACUCGCUGGGUCAUUGCUGACGCUGAGACGCGAAAGCGUGGGGAGCAAACAGG
rnacentral:rRNA from 1 species